rnacentral:rRNA from 1 species
UACAGAGGUGGCAAGCGUUGUUCGGAAUUACUGGGCGUAAAGGGCGAGUAGGUGGCCAUCUAAGUCAGACGUGAAAUCCCCCGGCUUAACCUGGGAACUGCGUCUGAUACUGGACGGCUUGAGUAUGGGAGAGGAACGUAGAAUUCCAGGUGUAGCGGUGAAAUGCGUAGAUAUCUGGAGGAAUACCGGUGGCGAAGGCGGCAUCCUGGACCAUAACUGACGCUGAGGCGCGAAAGCUAGGGGAGCAAACGGG